rnacentral:rRNA from 1 species
GUAUAAGAGACAGCAGCAGCCGCGGUAAUACGGAGGAUCCAAGCGUUAUCCGGAAUCAUUGGGUUUAAAGGGUCCGUAGGCGGUCUUGUAAGUCAGUGGUGAAAGCCCAUCGCUCAACGGUGGAACGGCCAUUGAUACUGCAGGACUUGAAUUAUUGGGAAGUAACUAGAAUAUGUAGUGUAGCGGUGAAAUGCUUAGAGAUUACAUGGAAUACCAAUUGCGAAGGCAGGUUACUACCAAUUGAUUGACGCUGAUGGACGAAAGCGUGGGUAGCGAACAGGAUUAGAUACCCCUGUAGUCCCUGUCUCUUAUAC